UCCGUUAGUCGCCGUUAGUCGAAUCGGACGAGGAUUUCUAUUCAGAAUCGGGUGACAAAUAGUUUCACGCGGGGUUGAAAUUUCGUGGAAAUAAUGUGGAACGUAUUUCCACGUAUCGUGUUGUGCAGUGUCGUGUUUGAACGGGAAUGCUAACGUGCAAAAUGCCGUUGCACACAUUUCAUACGAUUUCGUGCAGAAAAUCUUUACGAAAGUUCACCGAGCAAGGAUAUUAACUGCAAACAAUAGGAGCGUUUUACCAGAUCCCGAGAUUACGUUCGACUGUAUUUGUAUUAUUAACGUUUCCAUCUGCGCUCGCAAUCAGUUGCGUGUUAUUCUUCGUCGCGUUCGGUCGAAGUGCCUCGAGUGUGACCGAUGUUGCUGCCGAUCGUGCCACGCAUCAUUGAAGCUUCGACAGUCUUCGAACGAGAAUUUGCCGUUCGAAUUAAUCUCUCGGCAAGCAGAGCCUCGAUGACGGUGGGAAUCAGUAACACACCGAGAGACUGAUUGGAUAACGCUCCUUCGAGAAUGCUCGAUUUGAAUUAACAAAGCGAUGAAGCUACUUAGCAGCAGGGUGUGCUACAUCGGAUCUCGCAUUGUGACAUAAUCUUAUUUUAUCAUCUGCGGCAUUGGAUAGAAACAUCAUCUAUUUUUUUGUCUCAUUACAUCGAAGAUUCAGCUCGAAUAUUGAGAGGCCAGAGUUUGAUACUUGUCUCACAAAUG